AGGAAAAUGUUGCCCAGCAUUCCAUCUUUCAGCCCAAACAGAUGAAAGUCAGAAGGUGCCAAAUGUGAACUAUGUGGUGGGUGUGGCAGAACAGUCCAGUCAAGAUUGGCAAUGUGAUUCAUAAUCUUCAAACUGGGAAUUUACGUCGCUACUCCAUGGACUGAUAGUGGUGACAUCACGUCCCACCAUUGGUAACGAUGCAAUCAAGAAUAUAGACACCUUCAGUCCAGUAUUGGUUCAAUAAAUACUGACAAACUG